rnacentral:rRNA from 1 species
UACGGGGGGGGCAAGCGUUGUUCGGAAUUACUGGGCGUAAAGGGCUCGUAGGCGGCCAACUAAGUCAGACGUGAAAUCCCUCGGCUCAACCGUGGAACUGCUGGGCAUACUGGCGAUCUUGAGCCACCUAAGGGCAACUGGAACAGACGGUGGAGCGGUGAAAUGCGUAGAUAUCGUCUGGAACGCCAAUGGUGAAGACAGGUUGCUGGGGGUGCGCUGACGCUGAGACACGAAAGCCAGGGGAGCAAACGGG